rnacentral:rRNA from 1 species
AGCCGGAAACGCUCCGGCGCUAUAGGAUGUGGCUGCGGCCGAUUAGGUAGACGGUGGGGUAACGGCCCACCGUGCCGAUAAUCGGUACGGGUUGUGAGAGCAAGAGCCCGGAGAUGGAUUCUGAGACAAGAAUCCAGGCCCUACGGGGCGCAGCAGGCGCGAAAACUUUACACUGCACGACAGUGCGAUAAGGGAACUCCAAGUGCGAGGGCAUAACGUCCUCGCUUUUGUGUAUCGUAAGGAGGUACACGAAUAAGAGCUGGGCAAGACCGGUGCCAGCCGCCGCGGUAAUACCGGCAGCUCAAGUGAUGGCCAAUUUUAUUGGGCCUAAAGCGUCCGUAGCCGGCCAGACAGGUCCGUCGGGAAAUCUGCUCGCUCAACGAGCAGGCGUCCGACGGAAACCCGCUGGCUUGGGACCAGAAGACUCGAGGGGUACGUCUGGGGUAGGAGUGAAAUCCUGUAAUCCUAGACGGACCACCGAUCGCGAAAGCACCUCGAGAGGAUGGAUCCGACGGUGAGGGACGAAAGCUAGGGUCACGAACCGGAUUAGAUACCCGGGUAGUCCUAGCUGUAAACGAUGCUCGCUAGGUGUGGCACAGGCUACGAGCCUGUGCUAUGCCGUAGGGAA